rnacentral:tRNA from 1 species
UCUUUGUUAGUACAUUGGUCAGUACACGCGGUCUCCAACGCGCGAGAAUUGGGUUCGAUUCCCAGACAGAGAA